ACUUAAGAUUUUAAAAGGUUUGACUUUAGGAGUCAAAUAAGGCUUUGUCCCUUAAGUU
rnacentral:tRNA from 1 species